rnacentral:rRNA from 1 species
AUAAUUACUUAUUAUUAGGAUUAUACAUGCAAGCCUCUACACACCCGUGAGAAAUAGUAUCAGGCACACCAACUGGCAGCCUAAGACACUAAGCACUAUGCCACACCCACACGGACCUCAGCAGUAAUUAACCUUAUGCAAUGAGCGGAAGCCUCGACCUAGUCAUAAUAAUUUAUGCUGGUAAAUUUCGUGCCAGCUACCGCGGUUAUACGAAUUUAGCUAAAAGUAAUAAAUACGGUGAAAAGCAUGGCUAUAAAUUGACCCAAAAAUUAAAGAUAAACUUAGCCCCCAUGGUCAAAUAUUAAGCCUAAAGAACCCCUAACUUUAAUAUACACGGAAUUUUAAACCAUGAAACCCGGGACACAAACUAGGAUUAGAUACCCUACUAUGCCCAGGCCUCAAUAAGAUUUUUUUUCCACCAGAAAAUUACGAGCGAAAGCCUAAAACUCAAAAGACUUGACGGUGUCCCAACCUACCUAGAGGAGCCUGUUACAUAA